rnacentral:rRNA from 1 species
GUGCCAGCAGCCGCGGUAAUACGUAGGGGGCGAGCGUUGUCCGGAUUUAUUGGGCGUAAAGAGCUCGUAGGCGGUUCGGCAAGUCGACGGUGAAAUCUCCACGCUCAACGUGGAGGGGUCCGUCGAUACUGCCGUGACUCGAGUCCGGUAGGGGAGUGUGGAAUUCCCGGUGUAGCGGUGAAAUGCGCAGAGAUCGGGAGGAACACCCGUAGCGAAGGCGGCACUCUGGGCCGGUACUGACGCUGAGGAGCGAAAGCGUGGGGAGCAAACAGGAUUAGAAACCCCUGUAGUCC